AACGCAUAUUGCGCCCUUUGGUAUUCCGAAGGGCAUGCCUGUUCGAGCGUCAUUAUCAACCAUCAAGCCUGGCUUGUCGUUGGACCCUUUUUACCGCUGAAAUAUGUGGUAGGUCCGAAAGAUAAUGACGGUGUCGUGUUUGACCCUAGAUGCAACGAGCUUUUUAUAGCACGCAUUGAAGUGGUCGGCCGACCCGGUCUUUAACCAUCAUUUUCUAAGGUUGACCUCGGAUCAGGUAGGAAUACCCGCUGAACUUAA
rnacentral:misc_RNA from 1 species